UCUGUUGCCUCUCUCUCAUUUCAUCUUCCCAAAGUUCAACCCUAGCUCACCUCUUUCUCUCCCCAGGGGUCGACGCUGCUGCUAUCCCCGCUCGUCGACCGCUCUCGCCACCGGCUCUCUCUCUCUUUCGCCCAAAAUUUAGUCCCAAGUUCAGACACCCAAAUCAAGGACCUUCGCCAUCGAUUCGCGCUAUUUCCCCGCCACCGUGUUACAUCCAUUGUCAGUCAGCACCACCGCCGCUGCCCCUCGACUCGCUGCUGGUUCGCAAGCGGUCAGGCUUGGACAGCGCGGUCAGCGCCGCCGCUGGUCUUCUAUUGACGGUGAGAUUUCCACUAUCGACUCUCCUCCGCAAGUGCCGAACAGCCCUCGCAGUUUGCUCCCUCCGUCGUCGCCCAGAUCGAACAACCCUGUCUUCGGGGCUCCGCCGUCAAUCGAUCUUCAUCGGGCAACUAUAAAUACUAAGCUAAGUCUUCCUUCCUAGCUUAUACUAGUUCUUGAGAUCUCACUGAAAUGAGUUCUAGUGUAUGGAGUUAUUUGGCAUGUUUUGUGAUGUUGCUGUAGUAAAACCUUUAAGUUCUUUCUUUAAGUGAUUUGCUAGGUUCAACAUUAGUUCCAUAAGCUAUGCUCUGUGCUUUGCUAUUUCUCUCAAUCCUAAGGCAUGUUCUACUGUGAUGCAAGGUGGUGUCGUGGGGAAAAAUACUUGGUUUGUUGUUAUGAGAGGUGUGGAUGAACUCUUUCCCUUGUUGCCUGAUUCUUGGCUUUCCAAAGAAUAGAAGUGUGAUGAUUUCUUUUGAUGUGGUGGGAGUGAGUGGAACCGAGGGAGAUAGAGUAUAUAUAUAUACAUAGUGUUUGUAACUGAAAGUUCUGUAAAGUAGAUCUUGGUGCAGAAUGAAAUCUCAAGUUUGUUAUCCUACAGCAGAUGUCCUUUUCUCAGUCCUUUGCAGCACCUUUAAUUGAUUCUGGUGGUGAUUUGCAGGUGCACAAGGUGGGGCAGAGGCUGUUGGAGCUGGGGUGCAGGGUUGCUGCAGCCGUGCUGCAGGUUUUCUUCCCUUUCUCUGGCUCGUGCAGGCUGCUGUACAUGGGGCUGGGGUGGUUGAAAAAGGAAAUGUCUGUUGAGCUGUUGUCUCCGCGACUGGCUCGCUGACUCGGGUCAUUGUGCUCGCUGCCCGGAGUUGCUGGUUGCACAGCCAUGGGAGGGGCCCAAAGUGCAAGUCAUACGGAAGACGAUCCUAUAAUUUAAUGUAUCAUGUUUUCGAACGUUUUUAGUUCGAGAUAAAAUCUUUGUAUUCUUUUUCGAAAACACGCAAGGAAAAGGGGCUUUAAAGAGCGGGUAUUACAGAAGGGGCAGAGACGUAAUUUUUCUUAUUUAAGGUGAGUUUUCUCUCCUUCCUUCCACCAUCUUCUCCAAUUCUCCCUUGCACACGACCCCAACUACAAAGUAUCACCAAAUUCACACUCCCACACUCUCAUUCUUCCAUUCCAUUCCUAAAUUCAAGCUUUCAUCGCCCAAUUCUCUCCAACUCAAGGUAUGAAUCCUACUCUUAAUUUCUGAGUUUAGUUUGAAUUCUUCCAUGGAUUUUGCUCUUUCUUGAUAAAUUGUUCGGUUGAAAAGCAUGUUUUAGUAUGGGGGAUGAGUGUGAUGAUGUUUCUACUUGUCUUUCAUGGUUGAAUUUUGCAUAGAGUGGUGAAUUGUUGGUUUUUUUUGGUGAAUUCCCUCUUGUUCUUAAUUGUUAUAUAUUGCAAUCAUGUUCAUAGAAUUGUGAGGCUAUUAUUACUUCCAUGAAUUGCAAUACAUGUGUAGUCAUAGAGAUUGUUAUUUUGUGUUGUUCAUGUUGAUACAUCUUUGCAUAGGGGAUGAAUUCACGUUGGGGGAUGGAUUCUAGUUGUUCUAAAUUGUUGAUUUUGUUUUACAUGAUCACAUGCUACAAUUUGGAAUGAUUUUUUUUAAUACAAACUUGCACAUCUUUGUUGAUUUUCGAUGUAUACUUAGUUGAGUGCAAGUUUGGGGAAACCCUUGUUUGUCUAUUGUUUGGUGCUCUUUUUAGAGUUUGAUUUUCUUUUGUAGGAAAAUGACAACAUGAGGCAAGCCCGAGAAUGCGAAGAGUUACGGAGUUAGCCUUCCCACGGAUGAAAAAAAGGCAAUGUGGAAUAGAGUCUCGGCACGAGACACGGUGCCCUCACGGUAACCCCAUGAGCUUCCCCUUGGUACUUUGGGGAUUCUAGACGACUUUUGGGCAUUGUGCAACGUCGGGGAGGGAAAUGGCCUCAUCCACAUGUUCCAAGGGAGAUGACCAUCGUAUAUGAGACGCACUCUCGAGUUCCUAAGCACACUCAAGGUGCACAAGAACCGCCGUUACCGCACCCCCGAGAGCAUAGACUUAUGCCUUGGCAACUGCAACCACUCUUUAUCCAUGGAGGACCUUUGUGAGGUGUUCCAAUUUUUCGACCCCAACCCCGAUGAGGAGAUUGAUUAUGAGUAUUCCGAUGUUUGGGGUGCGAUGACAAUGGAAGGAGAAGAGCAUGGCUCGGGUUAUGCCAAGUCCUCAUCCAUCCGCAACCCCGUCUUGAGAUACAUCCACCGAGCGAUGACCCAACUUAUGUUUGCAAGAAUUGAUGGUGGGAGUGGUCCCAAACCGAGAUCAACGUCAUGUGGUGCCUUCUUAACAAGAGGGGGAUCAACUUUGGGAUCCUCUUCACUCUCUACGUUGACCGCAUUUCAAAGAAGGACGGGAGUAUGAUAUGUUGCGGGGGAUUAAUCACAGCGCUUACCGAACACAUUGGCAUUUCAACCGCGGGGUUCGCCGAGGAUAUGGGGGAAAAGUUCAUCACUUACGAGGUUCUCUUUUCGGUAGAGUUCUUGAAGACCGAUUCUAGCGGUCAAGCAUUUUUUAUGCAAGUGGAUUGGGAUCACUUUCCCGUUCCCAUCCCAUACUUGACCAAGGUAGACACAUGGGAGAAUCAAGCUAAUUGGAAGCUCAACACUCCCUCCCACCGAAGAGCCAUUGAGGCAAACCCCAUUCAAUGGGAGUUUAGGUGGAGAAACAUUCCUUCCCACAUCCUCGCCUUCGACACCAUCGAAAACUAUCAAGAGAGGGCGGAGCAUUCACAAGCUCAAGGGAGUGGGGCGCUGCCACAACAAGAAGAAGAAGAAGAGGAGGAGGAAGUAGAUUGCCACCGCCGCCGCACUAAAGCCAACCGUCGUCGCGGAAGGCCUAACGCCAAUGAGGAGUUCCAAGUGAACACCUCCGCCCAAUUAGGAGAUAUGUUCUCCUACAUGCAAAACAUGUCCAACACUUGGGACAAUAGAUGAGCGGGGCAAAAAUAAGAGAACGCCUUCAACCGCUAAGGACGGGCGGCACAAGGUGAUUGGCGGACGGCAGAACAAGACUUUUGGGAGCGUCAACGGCUAGAAGAUGUUCAUCAACGUCAACAAAUCACCGAGCUCCAAAGGAUGGCCGCCGAGGCUCGUGAGGAGAGCCAAACCAUGAGUGGCGACAUCACCUAUCUCAUUGGCGCCUUUGACGACCUCAACGCUCGCUUCCCUUCUCCUCAAUAAUGGAGUCAAGCUCAUGACUUUAUAUGACCAUUUGUAUCAUAUUUGCUUUAGUUUUUGUUGUGACAUUUUUUUUGAAGUUUGAACAUCUUCUCUUUAUGUUUUUGAAGUUGUUUUUGGUUUAAGUUUGGUUUUCACGUUAUUGAAAUUUUUCACAGGUUCAGGUCCGCUGGCCAUUCACAGUGCUCCAGUCGCAAAUUUUUGAAUUUUUCCCUGUCCAACGUCAAUGCGGAAAUUUCAAGGUAUCUUUAUUGCUUUCUUAAUUUACUCACGUCCCUACCGACUCUACGAACUUAUUUUGCAUUUUGUUGUAAAUAAGUUUGGGGGAUGAAGUGGUGGACCGUGACCUUAAGUUUUUGUGUUUGUUUUUGUUUUUGUUUUUGUUUUUGUUUUUGUUUUUGAAAAAUUCCCGAAGGUGAAUCCAUGUCGUGAACUUAGCAUGAAAAACUUAGAAACACGCAUGAUUAUGAACACAUUAGACAGACUUGUCAAUGAUAUACAAAGUUCUUUUCAUCUUUGAUUAAGUAUGGCGUAAAGUUUUGAUUUGAUGGUUUGGUAAAAAGGUGCAUAACUAGUGAUGCUUGUUCGCCUUGAAUCAGGCUUAUACCUUGUGAGAUUUGAGUCUUAAAUUCUUUCUUGUGUGAUUUAUCUGCAUUCAUGUAUAUGUUUCUAUAACUUGCUCCUCGUCUGCCUAAGUUUACAUAGUGUUUACGUUGAUUAAGGAGGAUGUUAGACAAUCUUUUCAACCUAUUUUUUUUAUCCAAAAUUUUUUACCCUUUUCAAAAAACUCAUUAUCCCUUUGGAGAGCCUUUAAGUUUAUUCUUUAGAAGUCAAAUCAAUGUGGACAAUUCCUUGGGUUAGUAUAGUUAUUUUAUUUUAUCUUUUGUAAACGAAUUGGAGAAAUAAGAAGAAAUUAUGAAAAGUGAAAAGUAGUGUGCUUGAAUAUUAUAAAAGUGCAAGUUGUGAAAUAGAAAAAUUCAAAAGUGUGCUUAAUGUAUAAAGGAUGCCUACGAAAAGUGAGAAAAGAAAAAAGAAAAAGAAAUAAAAUGUUGUGUGAAAAAGAAAGAAAAAUAAAAGGUUUGGGAAAGUGAGUUGAAGGAGAAAUAUUAUCAAAAGUGUCUUGGGUUUAUAAGAAAAGUGGAGUUUAUUUUACUCUACUUGAGAUUUUUAUUUUAGCCACUUUUUAGCCAAAUAUUCCUCACCUACCAAAGAGCCUACAUUACAAUAAAAAAUAAAGACCUUUCGGACUUUUGAUGCUUAAUCACAUCUAGUAGAUGAGAGAUUAGACUUUGAGCAAGCCUAUGGUAAACUUUGCAUGAUGCAUGAUUUGAGUUCCUAUAUACAUUUUACCUUAAACACUUUGAGAGUGAGAUAACACUUCCCAUCUUUGGAAGUUUGCCACAUGUGAGUGCAUGAAUUCAAGGUGUUCUACGAGUUAGUAAUGAAAGUGCAAUAAUAAGCCUUGCUUGAUUUGAUUGCGUUAAUUUAUGUUUGAUCUAUCUUUUCCAUACUUUGAGGCAAUUAUGACGUCUAGUCCUUGUGCAUUCCGUGUGUCUAUUAUUGUAUCUUCUAUGUUGUUUUCGAGGACAAACAAAAAUGUAAGUUUGGGGGAGUUGAUACGCUCGGAUUUUGCACGGUUUUAAGGCCUUUAUUUGGUUCGUUUGUAAUGUCAAAAUCACAAUUCAUGUCUAUAUUUCGUAUGUUUUAUCAAUUUUGGUAUUUUGACGUGUUUUA